rnacentral:rRNA from 1 species
UACCCUGGUAGUCCACGCCCUAAACGAUGUCAACUAGCUGUUGGGGCCUUCGGGCCUUGGUAGCGCAGCUAACGCGUGAAGUUGACCGCCUGGGGAGUACGGUCGCAAGAUUAAAACUCAAAGGAAUUGACGGGGACCCGCACAAGCGGUGGAUGAUGUGGAUUAAUUCGAUGCAACGCGAAAAACCUUACCUACCCUUGACAUGUCUGGAAUGCCGAAGAGAUUUGGUAGUGCUCGCAAGAGAACCGGAACACAGGUGCUGCAUGGCUGUCGUCAGCUCGUGUCGUGAGAUGUUGGGUUAAGUCCCGCAACGAGCGCAACCCUUGUCAUUAGUUGCUACGAAAGGGCACUCUAAUGAGACUGCCGGUGACAAACCGGAGGAAGGUGGGGAUGACGUCAAGUCCUCAUGGCCCUUAUGGGUAGGGCUUCACACGUCAUACAAUGGUCGGGACAGAGGGUCGCCAACCCGCGAGGGGGAGCCAAUCCCAGAAACCCGAUCGUAGUCCGGAUCGCAGUCUGCAACUCGACUGCGUGAAGUCGGAAUCGCUAGUAAUCGCGGAUCAGCAUGUCGCGGUGAAUACGUUCCCGGGUCUUGUACACACCGCCCGUCACACCAUGGGAGUGGGUUUUACCAGAAGUAGUUAGCCUAACCGUAAGGAGGGCGAUUACCACGGUAGGAUUCAUGACUGGGGUGAAGUCGUAACAAGGUAA